AUUAUAUUAAAGCAAAACAGCAUACAUUCAAAAAACACCGAAUAGUAGUAGUAUAUCAUUUAAUCACCUUAUUAUCCAACGGAGUUGGUUGAAGCAAUGUAUUCAAGAUACAAAGUAAUUGAAGGAAUGAAUUGAAAGACUUACGUGCUGGCCCCUGCUGCUGUGAAGGCCGGACGGAGACGCCGGCAGGGGCGGCGAGCGAGAUGCGAGGCAGAAUGAGAAAGAGAAGGGCAGAGAGAGAGUGAGAAUUUGGGCUGAGAAUUUCUAGUAUUGUUCUGAAUUUUGUUAGGAAGUUGGGGCUGAGAAGUUUGGGCCAUGGAUUUCAAAUAAUUAUUGGUUUGAAUUAUAAGAACAAGUAUUUUGAUUGGGAGAAUUUUUUAUGUAAUUAUUAAUAAAUUUAAUAAAAAAAACAAAUUAUAGUCAAA